rnacentral:lncRNA from 1 species
GCAAAAUUCAUAAAUUUCUCAAUUUCUCAAUCAAUUUUUGCAUUAUAAGUUAUUUCUCAUAAAAUCUCGGUCUGUAUCGAUCUAAGACCUAAGUACUAAAUUCACAUAAAUCUCAUAAUAAUCACUUAAUUUAUACAAUAUAAUUCAUAAAGAGAUGCUAAGAACAUGGUAAUCGACCUACUUAAUCACAGUGUUGCGGGGAAUGUUUCGGUAUAGCCAAAAAACUACUUGCAUUUCUCCUUCUUUUUUUCCUUGUUGUUGCGUUCAAAACUGGCAAGACAAGAGGAAACUGGAACUAAAAUGACGAGAGAAGGUUAGAGAUGGCGAAAAGUUAAUGAGAAGUCCCAUUUGCACCCAUCAAUUGGCAAUGAGGAACGAGUACAGCGAGGUGGCAACGCUGUUGAAAGAAGCUGAGCGUUUAUGCAUAUGAGAGAGAGAGAGAGAGAGAGAGAGAGAGAGAGAGAGAGCAGUGCCGAAAAAUACAAUAGAUAGCAUGAUUAGUGGCUGGGUUGAUGUGGUUGUCAAUCAGUGGUGAUGGGGCAGUCGACGGUGAAAGAGAGAAGGAAAAGAAAGAAAUGAAAAAAGAAAGAGGAAGAGAGUAAUCGAGAGACAGAGAGGGGUGAGUCGGAAAUCUUGUUUUCCAUGUCAAAUGCCAUGUAUGAAAAAGUGGGACUCAAAAUAAUGUCAUGUCAUGUUUCUGAUUAUUUCUGGGCAGAAACUUGCGUGAGUCAUUUUUGUUUUACA